rnacentral:ncRNA from 1 species
AAAAAAGCGAACGGGAGCUUGUUUGACAGGCUGAGAGGGAAAUUAAAUUUCCGACCGAUAACUUGAUUUGGGUAAUGCCAACGUAAGUAAAACAGCGCAUACGGUG